CCUCACCACCAAGACAUGACCCAUAUGGCCCAAAUUGCUGCAGCAAGCCGAGCCACCAACCGCCAGAUUGGCACCGCACGACGGCCACGGACCAGAGUUGUCGCCGCCUGAUCGGCGAUUGAUCGCAGGUGUGGGGUUAGCAUGACUACAGAAAUCCGAGGCAGUAAUUAAACCAGUUCAAAGCCACAACACGUUUUCAACUAUUGAAGUGUCAAACUGAAUUCAGGCAGCAAGGGCUCGAUUUUGUUCUCAUACUGCUCAGCAGGCUGCUUUAUAGAAGUACAAGACUAAUUAAAGACGAAGGCAUCAUCGCUUAUUUUCAAAGCAUCAAGGAUCGCAAAGUUAUCCUCUACUUUGUCAUUAACAGUGUCAGUGGCUCCAAAAUCAGUUGCAGAAAUAUAAGGGUGUGAAGCACACCUCCGCUGUGAAUCUAAAUGAGAAU